rnacentral:rRNA from 14 species
UCCUCCCAAAGCGUAACGGAGGAGCACGAAGGUACGCUAGGCACGGUCGGACAUCGUGCUGGUAGUGCAUAGGCAUAAGCGUGCUUGACUGCGAGACUGACAAGUCGAGCAGAGACGAAAGUCGGUCAUAGUGAUCCGGUGGUCCCGCGUGGGUGGGCCAUCGCUCAACGGAUAAAAGGUACUCUGGGGAUAACAGGCUGAUACCGCCCAAGAGUUCAUAUCGACGGCGGUGUUUGGCACCUCGAUGUCGGCUCAUCUCAUCCUGGGGCUGAAGCAGGUCCCAAGGGUAUGGCUGUUCGCCAUUUAAAGAGGUACGCGAGCUGGGUUUAGAACGUCGUGAGACAGUUCGGUCCCUAUCUGCCAUGGGCGUUGGAAGUUUGAGAGGGGCUGCUCCUAGUACGAGAGGACCGGAGUGGACGAACCUCUGGUGUUCCGGUUGUCACGCCAGUGGCAUUGCCGGGUAGCUAUGUUCGGAAGAGAUAACCGCUGAAAGCAUCUAAGCGGGAAGCGCGCCUCAAGAUGAGACUUCCCGGGGCACAAGCCCCCUAAAGGAACCAUAUAGACUAUGUGGUUGAUAGGUCAGGUGUGUAAGUACAGCAAUGUAUUGAGCUAACUGAUACUAAUGAUCCGUGC